GGCCUAGUAGCUCAGUUGGAAGAGCAUUGGGCUAGUAUUCCAAAGGUCGUAGGUUCGAAUCCCACCGUGGCCG